rnacentral:lncRNA from 1 species
GGGUUUCUUAUUUAUUCUCAUUGUUAUAUUGAUCUAUAUUUAGUCUGAAUUAUGUGGCAGUUGUUAAGUUUUAGGCUUUUAUAUUAUGCUACAACUUAGUGCAUAACACGGUAUCACAUUUACUUUAUGAAGAGCUCAAAAUCGCAGAAUACAUUGUGAAUACAGACGUUGUCUGCAGAUGAAAUUCCAUAUUCUUCAUACGUUAACAAUCAUUUUACAGGGUUCUGGUGGCGUCACUGUGAAGAAAACGAACCAAGCUCUCAUUUUUGGUAUUUAUGAUGAACCAAUGACUCCAGGACAGUGCAACAUGGUUGUAGAGAGGCUGGGUGAUUACCUCCUUGAUCAAGGCCUGUAGGCUCUUAAUUCUUCGACUUAGCUUCAUGGUUGUCAAAUGCUGAUUUCUGGUUUGGGCUUGCAGCUGGCCAUGAACUGACAUUAAUGAUUUUGCUGGGAAAUAACGUUGUGAGGACAAAACAGUGGUUUUUUUCCCCUACUUUUAUUGUUGAUUGUGUAGGUCCAUUGCCUUUUUCUUUUCAACUCCAGCUAUGCUUUCUUAAUUUAUGUGUAUUCAUGCUCCGGUCUCUUAAUUAAGUUUGCGUAUUUCAAGUUUGAACGUUUUGGAUUUAUUUUAUAAUACAUAAUACAAAGAUUUUCUAUACGGGAUUUGAUACUCGUGCAUUUUUUGGUUUUCUUUGAGUACAUUUACGUCCCCUUCUUUAAAGGUUUCUCUACAAAGCUUGGUGGUGAGAAAAUGCGUAUUCUGAUAACAGCCAAAGCGAACAGUCCAUGCUGUUCUUGAUGCAUCAUAACAAGCCAGCAAGUUUCCAUUUGCUAUGAUUUCUACCAUUUUCUGUUGAUGCAAAUCAUACUUGCUUGAACGUGGAAAAGAAAGAUGAUGUCUAUGUGUUCAUGGGAAUUAGAUACAUCAAAAAACGUGGAAAAGUUCUAUUUUAUUUUUGAAAAAUCCAUAUCUGAUCCUUAAUCUUGGGAAUUAGAUACAUCAAAAAACGAUAAAAGUCCACAUUCAGAGAUUCUGUGCAGAGGAGAUGCAAAUUUUGCAAUUCUUGAUUUCAAAUCCAAGCUCAGAAUUGAACAUAACAAGGAAAAAAAAAAAAAAAAAAGCUUUCAUUUCAUUUUCUAAGUAAUUUACACAGACCAAACUUUGAUCAAUCCUAGCUAUUAACUGCCAACCUUAGUUGAGAAGAGAAGCUUAGGAUGUCUUUGUUUAACAGAACCCAUCAAAUAUCUAAACCUUCAACGGCUUGGGAACAUGAUCAGUGCAUUCUGACACUGCUUAUGCUAUUCCUAGCAGCCAUUAUUUCGUUGAGCGAAAGCUUCUUCUUUGGCCCUGGCUCCGCCCGCUGCUUUGGAGCACUGUGAGACCUCAAUUUGGCCUUGGAAGGAUUUUGUGUUGGACAUAUAAUUAGGGAAGUUUGAGUGAGGCCUGAAGAAACUGCCUCCACAAACACUCUUGGCUGGCGUUGCAGGGGCAUUCGACCUGACAGAGUUUGCAAAAUCUUGAUGAUUUUUGUAAUAUGGUAUGGAGAUUCGAGCUGGAAUUGGACAUGGAAGAGGUGAUGAGUAAGGUACUCCGUCGUCAUAUUCUGAUAAUGCUGCAGCGGCUCUACGAGAUCUUGAUCUGGGUUUGAUUUCAACUAUUUUUGGGCUUUCAUCAAAUUCAUAAGAUGCAAACAGCCUCUCACUGUGGAAUUCACUUUUUGUAUCAUCAAAUUUUUCCUGAAAAUGUUAAAAAAAGAAACCAAGUGAACCCAUUUCUUCAAUAAAAAGAUUGGACUUCAUACAAGUUUGCAAAACAGGAUCUUACAAUUGAUUUUCGUGGUCGGUUUUCAGGUUGAAAUCUAUUCUCCUUGUUUAUAGAACGACGAGCACGUUGGGAUCGAACAGAAGUUUGAGCUCUUAUAAGAGCUUGCAUACUGUGAAGAGUUGCAGCAGCCUGCUUUCGGACCAGAUAGCCUCUAACAAGUGCCUGCAUCUUCACCAAUCCUUUCAAUGCUCGAAGAGCUUUUCGAGCCUGCGAUUAACCAAAUAAACCCAUUAAGAAUAUUAAAGAGUCAAUUUACAGAACACCUUACAAACACAGCUUUCUCAUGGAGCAGUUCAUAGAGCAGAUGAAAAAGAAAAGACGAGUUGAAGUAGGACUUAGCAAUCAUCCCAAAACAGAGGGGACCAAAGAAAAAACAUUUGAAUCAGUGUUUCCAGCUUUUGAGAGAGUAAGAUUUAAGAAAAGUAACUAAAGCUAAAAGCUAAAUUUACUUUUCUCAGAAAAAAUGUAGUACUGACACUGUUUCAUUAAUUACCCUUGGUGUGUGUUUCCAGCUUUCACGAGUAGACAUAAAAGCAAUUUAUACAAUUUCCUCCACAAUGUUAUAAACAUUUUGUUACAAGGAAGAAAAAAAAACACACAAUUGUAAUAAAGCAGAGCAGAAACUGCAAAAAUCUAAAAAUACCCAGAUGAGAGUAUCAACUUUUGAACUUGAUCUGAAUCAUACCCAUGAAAAAAGAAAAUUAAAAAAAGCUGAAAAUUACUCUGUCAAAACCACCCACUUAUCAGUAAGAAAAUUUUUUAAAUAAAGCCCUACUUUUGCUUACCAAAAAGCCUCUGAAAACGGUUUGAACUUUGAUUGCAGCCCACUUCUCUGUCUCGCUACCAUACGUUGUCCCUCUGCCAUUGCUGGUCAGCCUCACUACCGCCAUCGCGGCCUGUGCUGCAGCCACUGCAUCGUCGGCCGCUGCAGCCGUCGCAGAUGCCACAGCUAUUGCGUGUUUGUUCUGAUCUCUUUCAGUCUCAGCAAUGUAGGAUCUGAGCCAGGCAGCAUCUUUCACCUGAAGGUUAUAACGAGGGAUCACACUGUUAUCCCUUCCUGAUUUGCCAAAACUCCAUCUUGUUUUCGCUCUCUUUUCGCUUGAAAUUGAACUUGAACUGUCACCACCAUUAUCUCUUCCUUUAUCUUUCUUCAUCCCCAACAAGCCUUUUAGCCACCUUGUAGCUUUACCCAUCUUGUCUAGAUCUCUCUCUCGUUCACUACAACUUGGAUAAUCUUAGAAAGACAAACAAUGCAUUAGAGCCCAGAAUGUGAAGCACUGAAUAAAUUAACAAUUAAACUAGAAAUUGAAGUAGCAUGAGAAAAAGUAAAAACCAAGCAAUUAAAUAAAUAAAUUAUCCAAUUCAAAAAACUAAAACAGCGCCGGAUUUUAUCUUUCUCCCUCUCUGCUAUUCCUUUAAAUCAAGCCGAAAUUAGCUGCACGAAUCGUGGAUUCUGAUUUAAAGCCUCGGAAGAAAUCGUCUAAUGUGCUUUUUGUAACCUGAUUUGAGAAGGAUUCAUUUACUGAGCCAUUAAUUCGGAUUAUUUCCCAUUUGAUUCAGAAUUUGGUAACGGCAAAUAAAAUUUGAUUUAAAUAGCUUGAAUUAAGGCGAGAAUGUUUGGUUUAUUGGUUUUUGUCUGGUAAUUGCUUUAUAUGGAAUUGUUACCCGCCAUUGGCUGAUUCAUAUGUUGGCUUUUCCAGUUUAAGCCAGCAGAGGUUGCGGCCAUCAUGAAAGAUUUUGAUGAACCUGGAUCCCUUGCACCAACAGGUUUGCACCUUGGUGGCACAAAGUACAUGGUGAUCCAAGAAGAGGCUGGAGCUGUGAUUGGCGGGCGUUUUACAAAAUUAGGAUCGGGCGAAUAUAAUUUUGAUAAUUUACGGUCGGCUAAAAUUUAUUUACCGAUUUGGAGUUCGCCUACCACGUGGCAGGUGAAAAGAGGACUUGGCGCUUUUUUGACAGACGCCAGACCUGGCCGCUUCUCAAAGAGGCGUCUGGCACGUGAGAAGCUUGUUUUCUUCUUUUUUUUUAAUUUUUUUAUUUUUAAUUAUUAAUAUAUUAUAAUUAAAUAUUUAUAUUAUAUUAAUUUAAUAAUUAAAUAUAUAUAAGAGUAUUAAAUUAAAUAAUUAAUAAAAAAAUUAAUUAAUUAAUUAAUAUGAAAAUUUAAAAUUAUAAAAAUUAAAUUUAUUUGUUAUUGUAUUUUUAUUUAAAAUUAUAAAAUAAAAUUAUACUGUAAUUUAAAUAAUUAAUAAAAAAUAAAUAAAUAAACUAAUUAAUAUGAAUAUUUAAAAUUAUAAAAAUUAAAUUUACUUUUUAUUAAAUUGUUAUUUAGAAUUAUAGAAUAAAAUUAUGUUGUGAUUAAAUAUUAUAUGUGAUCACCUAAUUAUUUAUAAUUUAUCAAAAAUAAUAAAUUUAAUUAAAUAUUUUAAUAGCAAAAUAAUAUAAUAAUUUUAAAUAUUUUAUAUAAAUUGUUUAUAAUUUAUUAAAAAAAUAAAUAAAUUAAGUAAUUAAUUCAAUUAAAUAAUUUUGUAUAAAUUUAAUAGCAGAUUAAUAUUAUAAUUCUAAAUAUUUUUAUGUGCAUUUCUUUAUUAUUAAGUUUUAUAAUAUUUUUAUAUAUUAAAAAUAUUUUUAUAAAAUAUAAUAACUGAUGACCGCUGGAUUUCUUCACCCCAGAACAGGGGCGUGACCGCAGCCAAAGGCCCAUGAUACAGAGGCCCACGCACUUGAUACCCCCCAACAAGCCUGGCUCAUUCCAGCUUCCGGGCCGGGCUCGACCAAGCUUCCUCACUCAGUCCAGUCUGAUCCCUGACCAGCAGACCCCUCUCAGGCCCAGCGUCCAGCCCAACUCUCGGCCCAGCCCGGGGUCCAGAACAGUACUCACCAGACAGCCUGGCAGAUCCGCUCGAACGUACGCAUGAGGAGAAUCAGAGGCCGUUACGCAUGUAACAGGCAGCUGAUACCCUAGUACACCCGAAUCUGUAUGGCAGAGACGCGUGGCCCAAUCCUGGAGAGACCUUUACACGUCACCAGCAAGCAAGACAAUGUAUAAAAGAGGAGUCCCCUCCUCAGAAUGUUUUAAGCUUUAUUAUUCAAUACAAAAACCCUAUUCUAUUGGAUCUCAGAUCAUCAAUAACUAUUUAUAACUGAUUUUAGUACUUUGCAGAGUUAUAAAAUAAUAUUAAAUGUGUACGAAAUUACCGGUACUAUUUAAUUACAGAAUUACUGUAUUAAUCUAUUAAAAUAAUAAAAAAUUUUAUUAUUGGAUAAAUGUAUAUUAUAAAAAAUUUAAUAAAGUGAUCUUGUAUACGAUAAUAUUAUAUUAUAAAUAUUAUUUAUGUGCAGUCUUUUAUUAUUAAACUCUUAUAUAUUAAAAAUAUUUUUAUAAAAUAUAAUAACUAUUUUUAAUUUGCCUUGAUACUUUAGAGAGUUAUUAAAUAAUAUUAUUAUGUGAUUAAAUGUAUAUAAGAUUACUCAUACUAUUUAAUCAUAGUAUUAAUACAUUAAUUUAUUAAAAUAAUAAAAAAAUUUAUCACUAUAUAAAUAUAUAUUAUACGAUAAAUUAUUUUUAUACUUUCAAUCACAAUCGAAUUAUUUUUAUACAUCUAAUUACAAUAAAAUUAAACUUUAAAAUUAUAUAAUAUCAGUAAUUUUUUAUUUAAAAAUUAAUAAUAAAAUCUAUUAAAUAUUACAACAUUAAAAUUAUUAAAAAAAAUUAUUAUUAUAAAAAUAUAAUAUUUUUAAAUUAAUAUAAUAUAAAUAUUUAAUUAUAAUAUAUUAAUAAUUAAAAAUAAAAAACUAAAUUGUGGCCUGGAGUGGCGCCAGGCCACAAUGUAAAAAAACAAAAAAACAAAUCUCGUGGCGCCUCUUUGAAAGGCGGUCGGGCUUGGCGCUAGGUCCUCUUUUCGCCUGCCAAGUGACAGGCGAACCCCAAAUCGGUAAAUAAGUUUUAGCCGACUCCAAAUCGGCAAAAUUAUAUUCACCCGACCCUAAUUUUGCAAAAAACCCGUGAUUCGCGGAAAGAAGGUGUUUAAUUGUUUCGAUAAUUGGGUUUCUUAUUUAUUCUCAUUGUUAUAUUGAUCUAUAUUUAGUCUGAAUUAUGUGGCAGUUGUUAAAUUUUAGGCUUUUAUAUUAUGCUACAAUUUAGUGCAUAACACGAUAUCACAUUUACUUUAUGAAGAGCUCAAAAUCGCAGAAUACAUUGUGAAUACAGACGUUGUCUGCAGAUGAAAUUCCAUAUUCUUCAUACGUUAACAAUCAUUUUACAGGGUUCCGGUGGCGUCACUGUGAAGAAAACGAACCAAGCUCUCAUUUUUGGUAUUUAUGAUGAACCAAUGACAGCAGGACAGUGCAACAUGGUUGUAGAGAGGCUGGGUGAUUACCUCCUUGAUCAAGGCCUGUAGGCUCUUAAUUCUUCGACUUAGCUUCAUGGUUGUCAAAUGCUGAUUUCUGGUUUGGGCUUGCAGCUGGCCAUGAACUGGCAUUAAUGAUUUUGCUGGGAAAUAACGUUGUGAGGACAAAACAGUGAUUUUUUCCCCCUACUUUUGUUGUUGAUUGUGUAGGUCCAUUGCCUUUUUCUUUUCAACUCCAGCUAUGCUUUCUUAAUUUAUGUGUAUUCAUGCUCCGGUCUAUUAAUUAAGUUUGCGUAUUUCAAGUUUGAACGUUUUGGAUUUAUUUUAUAAUACAUAAUACAAAGAUUUUCUAUA